GUGGCUGAGUUUCCGUUGAUCGUAUGACAAGAGAGCAAGCUCACUAUGUCAGGAAGAACCUUAUAUACUCUCACUCACUAUUUCGCCAACAAAAUAUUUGAAAACGUUAGGUAAAAAACACUCUGAGGGAUUGAAACAUUGUUUUAUUGAACAUUUUUAGUUUCUUCAUUGCCAGUAAUUUGUUUAUAGUAUAAAGAGAUAGAGCUUGAGACAUCAGGACGGAGUGGUCAGGUCUGUUUUUAAGAAUUAAAACCAGAACUAUAUCACCCAAUUCAGUGUUUUAAAGUUUUUUAAAAAUUUUUCCCGUACAUAGUCGUGCCGGGAUAAAAAGUACUCACUUACUGACAACAUAAUUCGAAAGGCGAGUUCGGCUCAAUUUCUUGAUAAUGAUGAUGCUUCAAUCUGCGUCUGUCUUGUCGCUUAAUGGAGAAAGAAACUGGAUUUAAGAGUAUGUAUGUAUUUAUGUAUGUAUGUAUGUGCUUGUCAUGUAUAUAAAUAUGAGUGUGUGUACAUCGAUGAAGACAAAGGUGAUGUUUUUGUGGGCUUCGAUUUGCAGACUAAUUAAGACCUUAAAAUUGUUACUGGUCAGGCCAAAAAGAAAUGAAAAUUAAGUCAUUGAGCUCGGCAUCAAUGAAAUGGUUUAAUAUGGUCAAAAUAUGAUUUCUUCAGCGAUAUUAGCAACAACAUAUUUUAAUCUAAGAAUGUAUAUAGUGUGUGUAUGGAUGUACGCUUAUCAUAUUUUCUGCGAGACUUGAAACCAAUGUCAUCUGAUAAAGGCCUGUAAAUUGCAUCUGAAUAUCAAAACCUGCUGAUGAACCAAGUUAUGGUAUUGGAGCACGGAGAAGUUGCUUGGCCGCGUCUUCAGAUUAGGUCGCUUUCAUUUUUUACCCCUCUGCAGUUGAUGGACAGACGAAUGCAGAUGCAAAAUCUUACAUUUCUAUAUACAUAUGUAUGUACGAAAAAGUUUAAAUGUGUGAGUACCUAAACUCUACCAUACAUCCAUACAUAUAUAUCAAUGUGUACGUAUGUAUAUAAAAAUAUCUGGUUUUUUGUUGUUUCCAAGAACCGACCAAAGUUCCCUCAUAAAAUAAGACUAAAUGUGUGCAUGGAAAUGUCCAUACGUACAUACAUAUAUAUGUAUGCAUCUCUCGCGUACAGAAAUACUGAAGAAUUUAUAUGUAUGCUUGGAAUGACUUGAAUAAGACGUUAAAUUACAAAAGGCACAUAAUGAGAACGUAGGAGAGGAGCGCACAGCAAGCGCAUUUUAAGGCCUGAUCCAGCCCGCUGUGCUCUCGCAGGCAGCGAAUCUGCUUGAGUCCCAACGUAGCCCUCAGCCACGCCACAGGUUACCGAAAGGUCGUUUUAUAGACAUCUUGGCUCGUCGACUACCCCGGCCAAGCAUUGACAAAAUUCAGAGUCAGUGUCUGCAGGUACAAUGCAGAUCGCACACAGAUACUCACUAAUACAUAAACACUAGCACUCAGAUUCACAUGUUUUCUUUAUGUAUGUAUAUACCCGAGAUAUAUGUAUAUGCAUAAAUAUGUAACUUUUUAUUAAAUUAUUUUAUGGUACGUGCUCUAAAGUUCAAGGCAAGGAAAACAAUGCCUUUUUAAUGUUUUUUAACUACACAUAAUAUGAUUUAGAAAAUAUAAAUAGGUACAUAUUUAUGUACCUAUUCCUAAAAAAAAUAAAAUAAA